ACGUCUUUCUUUGUCUUGUAGACAUGGCCGACACGGGUCAAAGUGUAAUAUCUGUUCUUAUCAGCUCAAUAUGUGAUGAGGGUUGCAUUUAGACCCAAGAUAUUAAACUUAUUUUUGCAAAUUGACGGAGUGCUGGAAGCCAGAUGUUAUUGCACUAUCUGGUAUUGUACUAUCUUCAGGAUUGGCCCACGGUUU